UCGCAUUCGAUCGGCUCAAUUCAUAUAACGAUACGGUUUACGGUUCGAUACACGUGGAGAUUUUUUUUUACAUUCGUCGCCUAGAAAAUAGGUCAAGAGUGCUGCACCUGCGAUAGCCUCCCCAGUACGCAAUAAAAUAUAAACAUAUUUAAACAAAUUUUGGUCUACAUAGUGUUAACUGGAGGCAUAAAAAAGUUUCAUCAUCUGAUGAGUCCCAUUCAGGUUCAAUUGUUGAUGAAUUACAGGACUGCUGAAGAACAGCUGUGUAUGUAACUCGAAAGUUCCAAUUAUAUCAGUUGGUUCCCCAAACUCUUGAAGAUUUAUGUUAUCGUUCAUAUCUUCUUCGUCAGUCAAGCAUAAAUUUACAAGGAAUGAAAUACUACAAUACAAUACUUCACGAUCUCUUGUUCAGCCGCCUCUAAUUCCUUUUGAGUCAAAUACCUCGGAGAAAUGCCAUAUUUUACUAACUGAAACGUUCACUGCACAAGGCACAAACUAAUACUAAAGAACACGCUAAUUGUUGGAUGAUUAUUCUACAUGCGAUGACUUGUCUAGACUUGCAAUAACAAAGUUUGGUUUCACAGACAAGAAUAGUGGUGCAUUCAGUACUUAACGAAAAUGGCAAUACAAAUCCA